GAUGAACGCUAGCGGCAGGCCUAAUACAUGCAAGUCGUACGGCAACACAGUUGCGGGCAAUCGCAACCGGUGGCGAGUGGCGCACGGGUGAGUAACGCGUAUGUAACCUACCCUUCUCCGGGACAUAACUCCGCGAAAGCGGUGCUAAUAUCCCAUACCAACUCAUCAAGACAUCUUCUUGAGUUGAAAGCAGCAAUGCGGUGAAGGAUGGGCAUGCGUCCCAUUAGCUGGUUGGUGAGGUAAUGGCCCACCAAGGCUACGAUGGGUAGGGGUUCUGAGAGGAAAGCCCCCCACACUGGUACUGAGACACGGACCAGACUCCUACGGGAGGCAGCAGUAAGGAAUACUGGGCAAUGGUCGAAAGACUGACCCAGCCAUGCCGCGUGCAGGAUGAAGGCCCUAUGGGUUGUAAACUGCUUUUAGCCGGGAAUAAACACCCGUUUUAAACGGGCCCGAAGGUACCGGCUGAAUAAGCAUCGGCUAACUCCGUGCCAGCAGCCG
rnacentral:rRNA from 1 species